rnacentral:rRNA from 1 species
CCUACGGGUGGCAGCAGUAGGGAAUCUUCCACAAUGGGCGAAAGCCUGAUGGAGCAACGCCGCGUGGGUGAAGAAGGUCUUCGGAUCGUAAAACCCUGUUUUUAGAGAAGAAAGUGCGUGCAAGUAACUGUUCACGUUUCGACGGUAUCUAACCAGACAGCCACGGCUAACUACGUGCGAGCAGCCGCGGUAAUACGUAGGUGGCAAGCGUUAUCCGGAUUGAUUGGGCGUAAAGGGAACGCAGGCGGUCUUUUAAGUCUGAUGUGAAAGCCCUCGGCUUAACCGGGGUAGUGCAUUGGAAACUGGGAGACUUGAGUGCAGAAGAGGAGAGUGGAAUUCCAUGUGUAGCGGUGAAAUGCGUAGAUAUAUGGAAGAACACCAGUGGCGAAGGCGGCUCUCUGGGCUGUAACUGACGCUGAGGUUCGAAAGCGUGGGUAGCAAACAGGAUUAGAUACCCGAGUAGUC